rnacentral:rRNA from 1 species
UACGAAGGGGGCUAGCGUUGCUCGGAAUUACUGGCGUAAGGCAACACGUAGGCGGUCUUUUAAGUUCGGGGAUGGAAUCCAUGGACGCUCAACUCCAGAACUCGCCUUGAUCACUGGAAGACUUGAGUCCGGGAGAGGUGAGUGGAACUGGCGAGUGUAGAGGUGAAAUUCGUAGAUAUUCGCAAGAACACCAGUGGCGAAGGCGGCUCACUGGCCCGGUACUGACGCUGAGGUGCGAAAGCGAUGGGAGCAAACAG